AGAAAAAUUAAAACAUUUAAUGUUCAUUGUUCUGUUCUUACUGUCCCGGUUAAUGAAAGUGAAAUGAGAUCAAAAUAAUUAUUUAAACAUAGAAGGGAUGCAGAUUAUAUAUGAUAUGCUCUGGUCAAACAAGGGUUAAGUUUCUCAGAGGGUUGAUGAGCUCUGAUGAGAGCCUAUUGUUUUACUCCACUCCUCACAUGUCAGCCAAUCGGUGAAGCUCUAGGCAGCUCUUGUCCCUCCUUAGUACCAGCUCCCAAGUUUUCAGUCUCUUGCUUCUACAGCCGAACAGAGCAGACGGACUAAAACUUUUGUUAUCGAGCGAAACCGGAGGGUUUACUGAGCUGUGGCUCCAUGUAAAUGCUGAGCAUCCACUCGACGGCGGUCAGGUUUUUAUAUGGGACGAAUCCAAAGACCAGGUCAGCGAUUCCAGAACCCAGAGUGUUCCAGUGUUCACUGGAUGGCGAGCCAA